ACGUAGGGGGCAAGCGUUGUCCGGAAUCAUUGGGCGUAAAGAGCUCGUAGGCGGUUCAGUAAGUCGGGUGUGAAAGCUCCGAGCUCAACUCGGAGAGGCCACUCGAUACUGCUGUGACUAGAAUCCAGUAGGGGAGUGUGGAAUUCCUGGUGUAGCGGUGAAAUGCGCAGAUAUCAGGAGGAACACCAGCGGCGAAGGCGGCACUCUGGGCUGGUAUUGACGCUGAGGAGCGAAAGUGUGGGUAGCAAACAGGA
rnacentral:rRNA from 1 species